rnacentral:tRNA from 1 species
UGAGGUGUAGCUCAGUGGUGGAGCACUUGCCUAACAAGUGCAAAGCCUGGGUUCCAUUCCCUGCAGUGCAA